GCUCAGGACGAACGCUGGCGGCGUGCCUAAUACAUGCAAGUCGAGCGGACAGAAGGGAGCUUGCUCCCGGAUGUUAGCGGCGGACGGGUGAGUAACACGUGGGUAACCUGCCUGUAAGACUGGGAUAACUCCGGGAAACCGGAGCUAAUACCGGAUAGUUCCUUGAACCGCAUGGUUCAAGGAUGAAAGACGGUUUCGGCUGUCACUUACAGAUGGACCCGCGGCGCAUUAGCUAGUUGGUGGGGUAAUGGCUCACCAAGGCGACGAUGCGUAGCCGACCUGAGAGGGUGAUCGGCCACACUGGGACUGAGACACGGCCCAGACUCCUACGGGAGGCAGCAGUAGGGAAUCUUCCGCAAUGGACGAAAGUCUGACGGAGCAACGCCGCGUGAGUGAUGAAGGUUUUCGGAUCGUAAAGCUCUGUUGUUAGGGAAGAACAAGUGCGAGAGUAACUGCUCGCACCUGAC
rnacentral:rRNA from 1 species